CUGCCAGGCCUGGCCCCGGGGCGCUCGGCGCGGGCGAUGGGGUCGCCCUGAGGGACGUCCGGCGCCGAGCGGGCAUGCUGGGGCCGCUCCGGGCUUAGGCCGCGCGGCCUGGACCCGGAGCCUGGGCCCCGAGGCCGGAGCCAGCGCCGCCUGCAACCGCCGCCGCCGCCGCCGCUGGUGGCGCGGGUGCCAGCCCUCGCCAUGCCGUGGCCGUUUUCCGAGUCCAUUAAGAAGAGGGCCUGUCGGUACCUCCUGCAGAGGUACCUGGGCCAUUUCCUGCAGGAGAAGCUGAGCUUGGAGCAGCUCAGCCUGGACCUGUACCAGGGCACCGGGUCCCUCGCCCAGGUCCCCUUGGACAAAUGGUGUCUCAAUGAAAUCUUGGAGUCAGCUGAUGCGCCUUUAGAAGUCACUGAGGGAUUCAUUCAGUCCAUUUCUCUGUCGGUGCCUUGGGGCUCCUUGCUGCAGGAUAACUGUGCCCUGGAAGUGAGAGGGCUGGAAAUGGUCUUCCGGCCCAGCCCUCGCCUAGCAACUGGUUCUGAACCCAUGUAUUGGUCAAGUUUCAUGACCAGCAGUAUGCAGCUGGCGAAAGAAUGUCUCAGCCAGAAGCUGACCGACGAGCAAGGAGAAGGGUCCCAGCCGUUUGAAGGACUGGAAAAGUUUGCUGAAACCAUUGAAACAGUGCUCAGAAGAGUCAAGGUCACUUUCAUAGACACUGUUUUGAGAAUUGAACAUGUGCCAGAAAAUUCCAAAACUGGAACUGCACUUGAAAUCAGAAUAGAGAGAACUGUGUACUGUGAUGAGGCUGCUGAUGAAUCCUCAGGGGUUAAUGUGCACCAGCCCACAGCUUUUGCUCACAAGUUGCUGCAGCUCUCUGGAGUGACUCUCUUUUGGGAUGAGUUUUCUGCAUCAGCAAAAUCUUCCCCGGUGUGUUCAGCUGCACCAGCGGAAAGUGAGCCGAAGUUGUCACCUAGCUGGAACCCCAAAAUUGUUUAUGAGCCACACCCACAAUUAACUAGAAAUUUACCUGAAAUAGCACCCUCUGAUCCAGUGCAGAUUGGAGGGUUGGUUGGUAGGUUGGAAUUAAAUAUCACGUUGAAACAGAAUGAAGUACUUCCUGGAGCAAAGUUGGAUGUUGACGGCCACAUAGACUCCAUCCAUCUGUUCCUGUCGCCGAGACAGGUACAUUUGCUUUUGGAUAUGUUAGCAGCUAUUGCUGGACCAGAAAAUUCUAGCAAAAUAGGGUUAACUAAUAAAGAUAGGAAAAAUCGACCUAUGCAGCAGGAAGAUGAGUAUCGAAUUCAGAUGGAAUUAAACCGGUAUUAUUUGAGAAAAGAUUCUCUCUCUGUGGGUGUGUCUUCAGAACAAAGCUUGUAUGAGACAGAAACGGCUCGCACGCCAUCUAGCCGCGAAGAAGAAGUUUUCUUCUCCAUGGCUGAUAUGGACAUGUCCCAUAGUCUCUCUUCUCUUCCGCCUCUUGGGGAUCCCCCAAACAUGGAUCUUGAGUUAUCACUAACUAGUACAUAUACGAACACCCCAGCAGGAUCUCCGUUAAGUGCUACGGUGCUUCAGCCAACUUGGGGAGAAUUCCUUGAGCACCGCAAGGAGCAGCAGGCAGGAAGAGCGACGGCCUUCGCGCACAGCGGCACCCAGCUGCCGGCUUCACAGACAGCUGCUCUCCCUGCUCGCUCUGUGUCACUGGAUGAGUCCAGGCCGGAGCUCAUUUUCCGACUGGCUCUGGGAGCGUUUUCAGUGUCUGUGCUGCACAUCGACCCGCUCUCUCCUCCGGAAACAUCGCUGAGCCGGAAGCCCUCGACACCCAUGGCGCUAGCCUUCUUCCACUGUGUCCAAAAGAUCGACCCGCAGCGAUUUUCAACCGAAGACUUUAAGUCCUUCCGGGCAGUGUUUGCAGAAGCUUGUUCACAUGACCAUCUUAGGUUUAUAGGCACAGGCAUCAAAGUAUCCUAUGAACAAAGACAGAAAUCAGCUUCCCGUUACUUUAGUACUGAUGUUUCUGUUGGGCAAGUGGAAUUGUUGGAGUGCCUGUUUCCAAGUGAUUUUCACUCUGUUCCUCCUCACUACACAGAGCUUUUAACGUUCCAGCCCAAGGAAGGAACUGAUUCCCAAGCUCCUGUGUGUCUUCAGCUGCACUAUAAGCACUGUGAGAACAGAGCGCCUCAGGGCAGUCAAGCCAGACUAAGUGCAGUUCCUCAGAAGGCAGAAUUACAAAUUAAAUUAAAUCCAGUGUGUUGUGAAUUGGAUAUCAGUAUUGUGGACAGGUUAAAUUCCUUGCUUCAACCACAAAAGCUUACUACAGUCGAAAUGAUGGCAUCUCACAUGUACACGUCAUACAACAAGCAUGUCAGUCUGCACAAAGCUUUUACUGAAGUGUUUCUAGAUGAUUCCCAUAAUCCCGCCAACUGCCGGGUGUCGGUGCAGGUUGCCACGCCAGCGCUGAGUCUGUCUGUGCGCUUCCCGAUCCCCGACCUCCGCUCGGAUCAGGAGAGAGGACCGUGGUUUAAGAAGUCUCUGCAGAAGGAGAUCCUUCAUUUAACAUUCACAGAUCUGGAAUUUAAGACUGAAUUUAUAGGAGGAUCAACUCCAGAACAGAUCAAAUUGGAGCUUACCUUCAGAGAACUGUUUGGAUCAUUCCAGGAAGAGAAAGGAGAACCAUCUGUCAAAUUUUUCCACGUGUCUGGCGGGGUAGAUGGGGACACAGCAUCAUCAGAUGACUUCGACUGGCCACGAAUCGUACUGAAAAUCAGCCCCCCCGCCAUGCAUUCCAUCCUGGAGAAGGCCGCAGCCGAGGAGGAGGAGGGCCCCUGCCAGGAGGAGGAGGGAGGCGCGCACUCCCUGAAGGAUGUCUGGGACCUGAGGCGACCAGCCCCGUCUCCUUUUUCUUCUCGCAGAGUCAUGUUUGAGAAUGAGCAGCUGGUGAUGCCAGGAGACCCUGUAGAAAUGACGGAGUUUCAGGAUAAAGCAAUCAGCAAUUCUCACUACGUGCUGGAGCUUACACUGCCAAACGUUCAUGUAACACUACCUAAGAAAAGCUUUUAUGAGAAACUUUAUAACAGGGUCUUUAACGACUUGCUGCUGUGGGAACCCACGGCUCCUUCACCAGUCGAGACCUUUGAAAACCUUUCCUAUGGCAUUGGACUGUCCGUGGCCAGCCAGCUGAUCAAUACUUUCAACAAAGAUAGUUUUAGUCCACUCAAGUCAACAGUUAAUUAUGAUGAGGAAAGUGGAUCUGAGGAGGAGACUUUGCAGUAUUUUUCCACUAUUGAUCCCAACUAUCGUUCCCGUAGGAAAAAAAAGCUCGACUCUCAAAACAAGAACUCACAGAGUUUUCUCUCAGUUCUUUUGAAUAUUAAUCAUGGAUUGAUGGCAGUGUUCACAGAUGUAAAGCAAGAUAAUGGAGAGCUGUUGGAAAACAAGCAUGGUGAAUUCUGGUUCGAGUUCAGCAAUGGCUCUUUGUUUUGCGUGACAAGAUACGAAGGUUUUGAUGACAAACACUACGUUUGCCUUCAUUCCAGCAGUUUCAGCCUGUAUCACAAAGGUGUGGUAGAUGGGGAGAUUGUUCCUGCAGAAACCCGCCUGCCCACCUCAGCAUGCCCGCACUGGUUGGAACCUACCAUUUACUGCUCCGAAGAAGACGGCCUCAGCAGGGCUUCCUCAGACGGCGUGGGAGAUCACCCCAACAUGCUGUCCGUGGCAGUUAAAGUACUGUGUGACAAGUCGGAGUCCAACACGAAGGAGUCCCUGAUUGCUGUGGGACUGAGAGGAGCCACCCUGCAGCACACCGUGCUUCCCUUGGGGCUCAGCUGGCAUGAGCAGAUCUUACACUUCUUGAAUAUUGCUGAUGAACCUGUGUUGGGGUAUAAUCCUCCAACUUCACUGACGACAUUUCAUGUCCAUCUUUGGAGCUGUGCGCUCGAUUAUAGGCCACUUUACUUGCCCAUCCGGUCUCUUCUCACCGUGGAAACAUUCAGCAUUUCUAGUAGUGUUGCGUUGGACAGAUCUUCCUCCACGCUCAGGAUAAUUCUGGAUGAAGCGGCUUUACAUCUGUCUGACAAAUGUAACACUGUUGCUGUAAAUCUGAAUAGAGAUUACGUACGUGUGAUGGAUAUGGGGCUCUUGGAACUAACUAUAACUGCAGUCAAAUCCAAUUCUGAUGGAGAGCAACCCGAGUCCUGCUUUGAGCUGCACUGCUCCAGCGACGUCGUCCACGUCAGAACCUGCUCAGACUCUUGUGCUGCCUUAAUGAACCUCAUUCAGUACAUUGCUAGCUAUGGGGACCUGCACGCACCUGCCAAGGCCAGCGUGGAACCUGGAGCCCUGCGGAGAAGGACACAGGUAGAUUCCAGUCGCCACUCCUCUUCCCGUGGGCCGGUGCUUCCGGAAGCCGAUCAACAGAUCCUACGAGACCUGAUGAGUGAUGCGAUGGAGGAGAUAGACAUGCAGCAAGCCGCUUCUUCUGGGCAACCGCAGGCCAACGGUCUUAUGGAUGAAAAGUGUCCGGUGCAGGAGCCUUGCUGCUCUGAUCUCUUCCUGUUUCCGGAUGAGAGUGGGAACAUGUCCCAGGAGCCUGGCCCCAGCUAUGACUCGUUUACUCCCCACCUGAUCAGUGAUGCCAUGACAGGUGUGCCCACUGAAAAUGAUGACUUCUGCAUCCUAUUUGCACCAAAAGCAGCCCUCCAGGAGAAGGAAGAAGAACCUGUUAUAAAAGUCAUGGUGGAUGAUGCAAUUGUGAUAAAAGACAAUUAUUUCAGUCUGCCCGUUAAGAAGACGGACAGCGGCAAAGCCCCGUGGCGCUUCCCGCUGCCCGUGACUCGCUACGUCGUGAAGGAAGUCUCCCUGGUCUGGCACCUGUAUGGAGGGAAGGAUUUUGGAGCGGCGCCCCCUGCUUCCCCAGCAAGAAGUUCUGUGAGCCCCCACAGCUCGCCUUCUCACACCCCCAGCAGACACGGCCGCAGUACUGCCUGUGGGGGGCGAGGAAGGAACCACGACUUUCUGAUGGAGAUACAGCUGAGCAAGGUGAAGUUUCAGCACGAAGUCUACCCCCCAUGCAGACCCGACAGCGACUCCAGUCUCUCGGAGUACCCGGUGUCCCGGCAGGUGUUUGUCGUUCAGGACCUUGAAAUCCGAGAUCGUCUGGCAACAUCCCAGAUGAAUAAGUUUCUGUACCUGUACUGUAGUAAAGAGAUGCCCCGGAAAGCGCAUUCGAACAUGCUGACAGUCAAGGCGCUGCAUGUGCGCCCGGAGUCCGGCAGGUCCCCGCAGGAGUGCUGCCUCAGAGUGUCGCUGAUGCCACUUCGCCUCAAUAUUGACCAGGAUGCCUUAUUCUUCCUGAAGGAUUUCUUCACAAGUCUCUCUGCGGAAGUGGAGCUUCUCUUGACCCCGGACCCAGAAGUGAGGACGUCUCCCGGAGCUGAUGUGACCUGCAGCUUGCCACGGCAUCUGAGUACCAUGAAGGAGCCAAAUCUAGUUCUUUCCUUCCCUGGGCCCAGGCCACCUUCCCAGAGUGAUGGUGCUGGGUUCCUGGGAGAGGCUGACGGCGCCAGGGACAAGGACUUCUCGGCUACACAGGCAUCGUUUAGUGACCAGCCUGUGUUUUUUAGAGAAUUUCGAUUCACAUCAGAAGUUCCUAUUCGGCUUGACUACCAUGGCAAACACGUGUCCAUGGAUCAGGGCACUCUGGCUGGUAUCCUCAUUGGCCUGGCUCAGCUGAACUGCUCGGAACUGAAGCUGAAGCGACUCUUCUACCGGCACGGUUUACUAGGUGUUGACAAGUUAUUCUCAUAUGCACUCACUGAAUGGCUUAAUGACAUCAAGAAGAACCAGCUGCCAGGAAUCCUGGGAGGAGUUGGACCUAUGCACUCACUAGUACAGCUAGUGCAAGGCCUGAAGGACCUGGUCUGGCUGCCCAUCGAGCAGUACCGGAAGGAUGGUCGCAUCGUCCGAGGCUUUCAGAGAGGAGCUGCUUCCUUUGGCACUUCCACGGCUAUGGCUGCCCUGGAGCUCACCAACAGAAUGGUGCAGACCAUCCAGGCAGCAGCCGAGACUGCUUAUGACAUGGUGUCUCCUGGUACACUUGCCAUCGAGCCCAAGAAGACGAAAAGAUUUGCGCACCAUCGGUUGGCCCAACAGCCAGUAGACCUGAGGGAAGGCGUGGCCAAGGCCUACAGUGUUGUGAAGGAGGGACUCACAGACACGGCCCAGACCAUUUAUGAAACCGCCGCUCGAGAACAUGAGAGCAGGGGCGUGACCGGGGCCGUGGGCGAGGUGCUGCGCCAGAUCCCCCCUGCCGUGGUGAAACCCCUGAUUGUGGCCACAGAAGCCACCGCAAAUGUUCUAGGUGGCAUGAGAAACCAGAUCCGACCGGAUGUUCGGCAAGAUGAGUCACAGAAAUGGCGCCACGGGGGAGACUGAGGUCCCCAGCGUGACUCCGUGGAGAGGACACCAGGGGGGAGGAAGGAGAGAGUGGCCCAGGGCGGCUUCCAGUGUGACUUCCUGACUCCAUGGAGAGGAUGAUCCGAUUAGGGGAAGGAGAGAGUGGCCCAGGGCAGCCUCCAUGGAAAGUUUUACUGUGCUCAUCUCAGGAACAAAAGCUUUUUUAAGCUAAAUAAUUUAACGUCAAAAUAACAUACAACCAAAACCUUGGGCUGCUGUAGGGCUGCUUUAGUACUGCCCCAUCAAAACAUUUGGUGUCUGGUGUCGAAGGUUCUUGAAAGCCUUUGCUGCCAGGUUUGUGAGAUGCUUACCUUGUGGGCAGCAGCUUCUCCCUGGGCCGGACCGGGUGCAGUGGAAACCUCCCACGACAGCAUAGAGCAAUCAGAAAUGUUGGAAAAUUCCCUUGGCCUAGCUCUGGGCACUUUUUCUCUCCAGGCUUAAGAGUCACAGCCUCGACCUUACCUUGGCAAAGAGAGGUGGAGGCAGGACAGAUGGGCUGACGG